GACGAACGCUGGCGGCGUGCUUAACACAUGCAAGUCGAACGCUGAAGACCUGGCUUUUGUUGGGUUGGAUGAGUGGCGAACGGGUGAGUAACACGUGGGUAACCUGCCCUCUUCUUUGGGAUAACGCCCGGAAACGGGUGCUAAUACUGGAUAAUCACUGGCCUCCUCAGGGGGGUGGGUGGAAGGGGUUGUUCUGGCGGGGGAUGGGGUCUCGGCGUUUCAGCUGGUUGGUGGGGUGAUGGCGUAACAAGGCUUUGACGGGUAGUCGGCCUGAGAGGGGGCCCGGUCACUGUGGGACUGAGCUACGGCCCAGACUACGACGCGGGGCAGCAGUGGGGGCUAUUGCACAAAGGGUGACAGCCUGAUGCAGCGACGCCGCGUGAGGGUUGGGGGCCUUCGGGUUGUGAACCUCGUUCGCUCAUGGUCAGGCCGCAAAUGUGGGUUGUGGUGAGGGUAGUGGGUAAAGAAGCGCCGGCUAACUACGUG
rnacentral:rRNA from 1 species